AACGAACGCUGGCGGCAUGCCUAACACAUGCAAGUCGAACGAGACCUUCGGGUCUAGUGGCGCACGGGUGCGUAACGCGUGGGAACCUGCCCUUAGGUUCGGAAUAACUCCCCGAAAGGGGUGCUAAUACCGGAUAAUGUCUUCGGACCAAAGAUUUAUCGCCUUUGGAUGGGCCCGCGUUGGAUUAGCUAGUUGGUAGGGUAAAAGCCUACCAAGGCGACGAUCCAUAGCUGGUCUGAGAGGAUGAUCAGCCACACUGGGACUGAGACACGGCCCAGACAGCGAGGGGGGGGAGCGGGGGGGAUUAGGAGAAGAGGGGAAAAAGCCGGAUGCAGCCCGGGCGCGUGAGUGAUGACGGCUGGGGGGUGAUAAAGGUCUGUAACCGGGGAUGAUACAGAAAGGACGAGAGGAAGAGGCUCCGGCGAACGAGGGGCCAGCUGCGGGGGGAGAAGAGGAAGAGACAACGCGUGCAC
rnacentral:rRNA from 1 species